AUCACUUCUCAGCCUUUUGGCUAAGAUCAAGUGUAGUAUCUGUUCUUAUCCGUUUAAUAUCUGAUACGUCCUCUAUCGGAAGGCAACGUAUUAAAUGUAUUUUUGCACCUAGAAGAUGGACCAGGAGCUUGGCUUGCUCCGUCCACUCUUGCAUUGACCUGGUAUUGCAGUACCUCCAGGAACAGUGCACCCUCU
ensembl:snRNA U2 U2 spliceosomal RNA